CUCCCCGUGGCGCAAUGGUAGCGCGCAAGACUGUGAGUAUCCACCCUCAAAGAAUGUGAUCAUGACAUGCACUAACACCUCCCAGUCUAAUCUUGAGGCUGCGGGUUCGAGCCCCGCCGGGGAGU